rnacentral:rRNA from 1 species
UACGGAAGGGGCUAGCGUUGUUCGGAAUUACUGGGCGUAAAGAGCGCGUAGGCGGCUUACCAAGUUGGGGGUGAAAUCCCGGAGCUCAACUCCGGAACUGCCUUCAAAACUGGCGACCUGGAGCAGAGGAGAGGCGAGUGGAAUUCCGAGUGUAGAGGUGAAAUUCGUAGAUAUUCGGAGGAACACCAGUGGCGAAGGCGACUCGCUGGACUCUUGCUGACGCUGAGACGCGAAAUCGUGGGGAGCAAACAGG